rnacentral:rRNA from 1 species
UGCAAGUCGAACGGUCUUUCUAUGGAAGCUUGCUUCCACUGAGAAGAUAGUGGCGAACGGGUGAGGUAACACGUGGGUAACCUGCCCAUAAGAGGGGGAUAACAUCCGGAAACGGGUGCUAAUACCGCAUAGUUUUCUUGAUCGCAUGAUUGAGAAAGGAAAGACGGCCUUUGUGCUGUCGCUUAUGGAUGGACCCGCGGCGUAUUAGUUAGUUGGUGAGGUAACGGCUCACCAAGACGAUGAUACGUAGCCGACCUGAGAGGGUGAUCGGCCACAUUGGGACUGAGACACGGCCCAAACUCCUACGGGAGGCAGCAGUAGGGAAUCUUCCGCAAUGGACGAAAGUCUGACGGAGCAACGCCGCGUGAGUGAAGAAAGGGUUUUCGGAUCGUAAAACUCUGUUGUCAGAGAAGAACAAGUUGGAGAGUAACUGCUCCAGCCUUGACGGUAUCUGACCAGAAAGCCACGGCUAACUACGUGCCAGCCGCCGC